GGAAUAUUGGACAAUGGGCGCAAGCCUGAUCCAGCAAUGCCGCGUGCAGGAAGAAGGCCUUCGGGUUGUAAACUGCUUUUGUACGGAACGAAAAGGCUCUGGUUAAUACCUGGGGCUCAUGACGGUACCGUAAGACUAAGCACGGGCUAACUCCGUGCCACCAGCCGCGGUAAUACGUAGGGUGCAAGCGUUAAUCGGAAUUACUGGGCGUAAAGCGUGCGCAGGCGGUUUUGUAAGACAGGCGUGAAAUCCCCGGGCUCAACCUGGGAAUUGCGUUUGUGACUGCAAGGCUGGAGUGCGGCAGAGGGGGAUGGAAUUCCGCGUGUAGCAGUGAAAUGCGUAGAUAUGCGGAGGAACACCGAUGGCGAAGGCAAUCCCCUGGGCCUGCACUGACGCUCAUGCACGAAAGCGUGGGGAGCAAA
rnacentral:rRNA from 1 species